CCCACAUCCACUCCCCAAGACCUCUUGGAAAUUUCACUAUAAUCCCUCAGAUUACAGCCGGUUGUUUUACAAGCUCACAACCCAACUUGUUGUUUUGCGAGAUCACAACGAACUCGGUCGGUUUUCACAGGCUCACCGACUAGAACCAACCGAUUGUUUUCUCGGGUUCACAAUCAAAUCCAGUUGGUUUUCCCAAAGGCUCACCAACCACAACCUUACAACGAUUGUUUUCCGGGUUCACAAUCAACCCAG
rnacentral:lncRNA from 1 species